rnacentral:rRNA from 1 species
CCUACGGGAGGCAGCAGUAGGGAAUCUUUCACAAUGGGCGAAAGCCUGAUGGAGCAACGCCGCGUGCAGGAUGAAGGCCUUCGGGUUGUAAACUGCUUUUAUAAGCGAGAAAUAUGAUGGUAACUUAUGAAUAAGGAUCGGCUAACUACGUGCCAGCAGCCGCGGUCAUACGUAGGAUCCGAGCAUUAUCCGGGGUGACUGGGUGUAAAGAGUUGCGUAGGUGGCAUAAUAAGUAGCUAGUGAAAUCUGGUGGCUCAACCAUUCAGACGAUUAGCUAAACUGUUAAGCUCGAGACCGUUAGGGGUAACUGGAAUUUCUAGUGUAGGAGUGAAAUCCGUAGAUAUUAGAAGGAACACCAAUAGCGUAGGCAGGUUGCUGGGACGGUUCUGACACUAAGGCACGAAAGCGUAGGGAGCAAACGGGAUUAGAUACCCCGGUAGUC